CCUGUGAUAGUUCAGUUGGUAAAGUAGAGGCCUGUAGAUACCAAAAUGGCCAUCCAUAGGUUGCUGGUUCAAAUUUGGCUUGAAGGA